UACGUAGGGGGCAAGCGUUGUCCGGAAUCAUUGGGCGUAAAGAGCGCGUAGGCGGUCCGGUAAGUCGGUUGUGAAAACUGGGGGGCUCAACCCUCAGAGGCCGACCGAUACUGCCGGGCUAGAGUCCGGAAGAGGCGAGUGGAAUUCCUGGUGUAGCGGUGGAAUGCGCAGAUAUCAGGAGGAACACCAACGGCGAAGGCAGCUCGCUGGGACGGUACUGACACUGAGCUGAUGACGC
rnacentral:rRNA from 1 species